UCUAUCGUUUGAGUGAUGGAGUGACACAGAAGGAUAGGCGAUCACACAGUUGGAUUUGUGUGUCCAAGCAUUGAGGAAGUAGCCGCAGGCAAAUCCGCGGUUACAAUUCUGGGAUGUGAUGGGGAGCGAAAUUUAGUAGCGAAGUCGUUGAUUUCACGCUGUCAGGAAAAGCUUCUAGCGAGAUAAAAGGUGCCCGUACCGCAAACCGACACAGGUGGGUGGGGAGAGAAUCCCAAGGCCAGCGAGAGAACUGUUGUUAAGGAACUCGGCAAAAUUACCCCGUAACUUAGGGAGAAGGGGUGCCUCAUUAGUGUUAACGCACGAAGAGGCCGCAGAGAAUAGGCCCAAGCGACUGUUUACCAAAAACAUAGGUCUCUGCUAAACCGCAAGGUGAAGUAUAGGGGCUGACGCCUGCCCGGUGCUGGAAGGCUAAGGGGAUGUGUUAGCGCAAGCGAAGCACUGAACUUAAGCCCCAGUAAACGGCGGCCGUAACGCUAACGGUCCUAAGGUAGCGAAAUUCCUUGUCGGGUAAGUUCCGACCCGCACGAAAGGCGUAACGAUUUGGGCGCUGUCUCAACAACAGACUCGGUGAAAUUGUAAUUCCGGUGAAGAUGCCGGAUACCUGCGACAGGACGGAAAGACCCCAUGGAGCUUUACUGUAGCUUAGCAUUGGAUUUAGGUAGUAUAUGUACAGGAUAGGUGGGAGGCUUUGAAAGUAGGACGCCAGUUUUGCUGGAGCCAUCCUUGGGAUACCACCCUUGUACUAUCUGGAUUCUAACCACGAUGAGUGAAUCCUCAUCUGGGACACUGCUUGGCGGGCAGUUUGACUGGGGCGGUCGCCUCCCAAAAUGUAACGGAGGCGCUCAAAGGUUCCCUCAGCACGGUCGGAAAUCGUGCGUAGAGUGUAAGGGCAAAAGGGAGCUUGAUUGCGAGACAUACAGGUCGAGCAAGGACGAAAGUCGGACUUAGUGAUCCGGUGGUACCACGUGGAAGGGCCAUCGCUCAACGGAUAAAAGCUACCCUGGGGAUAACAGGCUGAUCUCCCCCAAGAGUCCACAUCGACGGGGAGGUUUGGCACCUCGAUGUCGGCUCAUCACAUCCUGGGGCUGUAGUAGGUCCCAAGGGUUGGGCUGUUCGCCCAUUAAAGUGGUACGCGAGCUGGGUCCAGAACGUCGUGAGACAGUUCGGUCCCUAUCCGUCGCAGGCGUAGGAAAUUUGAGAGGAUCUGUCCUUAGUACAAGAGGACCGGGAUGGACGCACCUCUGGUGCACCAGUUGUCACGCCAGUGGCACAGCUGGAUAGCUAUGUGCGGAAUGGAUAAGUGCUGAAGGCAUCUAAGCACGAAGCCAACCUCAAGAUAAGAUUUCCCUCCGCAAGGGUAAGACCCCAGGAAGACUACCUGGUUGAUAGGCUCUAGGUGUAAGUGCAGUAAUGCAUUCAGCUUAAGAGUACUAAUAGGUCGAGGACUUGACCU
rnacentral:rRNA from 1 species